AAAAAAAAAAAAAAGAGUCUUAGGCAGUCACCAGGCAGUCAUUCGUGUUCUUGUUCAUUUAUUCAUGUGUUCUUCAAACCCAUACUGUGCAUGCUAUUUGUCAGGCUCUGUGCUUCAAAUACUGAGUUGAAUCAGAUACAAUGUCUGUCUACCUGGUAUGGAGAUGGGAGUGUGUCAAUAAAUUAGUGUGGUUAGCCAAAUCUCAUAAGUACUUUGAGAAGGGGAUGAUCAUCUCCAGCUUCCUGGAGAAGGUCAUGUUUGAGCUGGACCUUGACAAAUUGGUAGGAUUUGAUCAGGCACUAGGAGCAGAGCAUGGCUCUGUGGACAGAAAGUUAUGAGCUCCAGUCCCUCUUCUUAUCACUAGUUUGACACUGGCCCUUCUGUGCCUCAGUUCCCUCAUCUGUAAAAUGGGGCUAAAAUAUUACUACCUCAUAGAAUUUGAUGAUGUCAAGCUCCUCACUGGAGGUCUUAUCUGUGUAUGGAGCCCACUAGGGGCCAAUCCCUCAGAAUACAACCUUCUCGUGCCUGGACCCCUGAGGAAUUCUGUUAGAGACAGAUGCCCCCCAAAUCUGGGACAUGCUGAUUUCCCUGGUUACUGGAAAAGUUCCAGGGUGCUUACCUGGUAAGUGGAAGGCCUGAGGAAACCUAUAGCUUCAACCACAUAUGAUAACUCGGUGCCAGGUCCCCAACCUGGGUCGUAAGGAACUAGGGGAAGAGAUAGCCUGGUCCAUAUCCCAACCUAAAUGUCUAAGUUCGUGCGUGCGCGUGUGCGUGCGUGUGUGUGUGUGUGUGUCCUCACCAACCCGGGUUUGUAAGGAACUAGGGGAAGAGAUAGGAGAUAGCCUGGUCCAUAUCCCAGCCUAAAUGUCUAAGUUCGUGUGUGUGUGUGUGUGUGUGUGUGCGUGUGUGUGUGUGCGUGCGUGUGUGUGUGUGUGUCCUCACCAACCUGGGUUGUAAGGAACUAGGGGAAGAGAUAGGAGAUAGCCUGGUCCAUAUCCCAGCCUAAAUGUCUUAAGUUCUUGUGUGUAACUGUCUUCAUUAGUGGUAAGGACUAUGCAGAGGUGGCAAAGCCUGGUGUCAUAAAUUCAGCCUCAACACAUUCAAAUAUGUUAUCACACUUGUCUUAGUGUAAUCUGUAUUUUGCUUUUUUGCUUUUUAAAAAUUAAAUCAGGGUUAGGGAAGUUGCUCAGUAGUAGAGUGAAUGUUUAGGGUGUGAGGAGCCCUGAGUUUGAUCCUAGCACCCCCUAGAAGAAGUUCUAAUGAUACAAUUUUCUUUAAAAAAUUGGAUUGUUAGAGAUAAAAGUAGCCUCAUUUGACUGCUUACCACUCUCACCUGUUCUUUUACUUUAAACACCUGUUUAUUGUACUUUAUUCUAGACUUUAAUAUUCAUACACAGGUCGCUUCUCUAAAAGUAUUGUGUGUAAUGCAAAUGCUACUUUGGAGUUGUUCACAAAAUUGCUUUCUUUGCUUAAUAAUGUUUUUGAGACUUAUGCAUGUUAAGAUCAAUGCAUCCUCUUCAUUCAUGUGUCGUUUCUAUAAUGUGACAAUAUCAUGUUACCAUUUCUCUUGUGGAUAUUGACUAUUUUCAAUUUCCUAUUACAAAGUACUACAUAGGAGCAGCCCUAUAUCUCUGAAUUUGUGUAUGUAUGAAAGCUUACCUAGGAUUGAUUCCUAGAAGUGAAAUUUGCAUAGUCAUAGGAUAUUUAUAUAUUGGUUCCUAAUAGAUAUUUCCAAAUUACCCUUCUGUCCUAUUUACUCAGUAUUUUCCCCAAGAUGACCCAAAGUCUAACAGUAUCCAUCAACAUCCAUUUUUUUCUAAAGUAGUGACAUCCAUGAAAUCAAGGAUUUGAUGUGCUAAUUAUGUGUUUUCUAAUACAUACUAAAGAAUAUAGCUAAACAAAAGAAGUUUUUUUGCAGUCAGCCAAAGAAGUCACAUGAAGCCAGUGGUACAUGUGCCAUAAUUUGGCAAAUGCUGGCACAGUUUGGGCAACAGAU